AGUGAACGCUGGCGGUAGGCCUAACACAUGCAAGUCGAACGGCAGCACAGUAAGAGCUUGCUCUUACGGGUGGCGAGUGGCGGACGGGUGAGGAAUACAUCGGAAUCUACUUUUUCGUGGGGGAUAACGUAGGGAAACUUACGCUAAUACCGCAUACGACCUACGGGUGAAAGCAGGGGAUCUUCGGACCUUGCGCGAUUGAAUGAGCCGAUGUCUGAUUAGCUAGUUGGCGGGGUAAAGGCCCACCAAGGCGACGAUCCGUAGCUGGUCUGAGAGGAUGAUCAGCCACACUGGAACUGAGACACGGUCCAGACUCCUACGGGGGGCAGCAGUGGGGAAUAUUGGACAAUGGGCGCAAGCCUGAUCCAGCCAUACCGCGUGGGUGAAGAAGGCCUUCGGGUUGUAAAGCCCUUUUGUUGGGAAAGAAAAGCAGCAGGUUAAUACCCCGCUGUUCUGACGGUACCCAAAGAAUAAGCACCGGCUAACUUCGUG
rnacentral:rRNA from 1 species